rnacentral:pre_miRNA from 1 species
CCUGCCCGGUGCCACUGUUUGGCGCUCACAGCGAGGUUACCCUUUGUGUAUUCGGUUUAUUGACGUGGAAUAUACAAGGGCAAGCUCUCUGUGAGCAUCAAACCUUGU